AUGACCAAAACCUAUGGAAGAACUAGAAAGGCAUUGAUCAGAUACACUCUGGCUUAUAGCUUUACUAGCUAAAAGCAAAAACAGCAUUUUUAGCUGACCCACUUUACCAUAACCCAAAAUAGUUAGACUACCCAAUUCUGAUACUUGGGAGCAAAAGCAAUUCUGAAUGUAAGAAGCUUGAUUAUCUAACCUUUUCUGAACCAAGUCCCCCAAUAACAAGCUAAAGACUAAUCAUUUAAGCCCAUUGAAAUAAGUUUCUUCCGAAUCAUUAUUAUAACCCAAUAAAGUUACUUGAGUUCUCUAACUUUGCCAGAAGGGAACAUGGGACUAUGUACCUUUUUUUCUCAGGAGGCCAUCAAAGUUUGUACAUAUAAAAAGCAAAAAAUGGUGAUCAUGAACCUUUUCUCUAGUGGACAUUCCUAUCACCACCCUGGAAUGUAAUCAUUAAUGCCAACUCAAGUAGUUUCUAUAUACACAUCUAAUAAAAGGAACUCUGGUUUCUCUAUUUCUCCAUAACUAAUGAUUUCAUCAUCCUACUUUACCGGAGAAGAAAAAUGCAAACUUCAAGAAAGACCUUUCAUUACAUUCCAAAGCUAUAAACUUUUGAUUACCCACAACACAACACAAUCAAGGUCACAGAAUCUAGCAAAAGGAUUGAUUGUAUACCUUCUUAGGGUUAGGGAUAGAA